CAUCCGCUAUAAAUUAGAGCCUGUGAACGUAAUCUUGGGCUGUGCUUUCAGUUCAGUGAGCGAUUCAGCGAAGGGAUAAGACCAGAUAUGGCAUCGGUGCAUACUACCUUGACAUCACUUUUGUGCAAGAAUGGAAACCAUUCUGCUCCUGCAAAAUUUCCAGGCACUGCCUUCUUGCCUGGGUUUGAUGGGGUUGGGCAUGUUUCAAAGAAAGGACUAUGCCUCACUUUCAUGAGCUCUGGCCCUAGGGCUACUUUAACAUCUGAUCCCCCAAAAACCAAUUCAGAGAAAACCAAACAAAGGAAGGGCACAGUUGAUCCUUCGGCUCCUGACUUUGAGCCUCAUCCAACCUUUGAGCAAUGUUUUCCAAGGAGUUCCAAAGAAUACAGGGAGGUUAUUCAUGAACCAUCUGGACAUGUACUCAAAGUUCCCUUUCGACGAAUUCAUUUGAGUGGGGAUGAACCAAACUUUGACACCUAUGACACAAGUGGUCCUCAAGACAUUAGUCCACGUGCUGGACUCCCUAAAUUGCGAAAAGAAUGGAUUGACAGGCGAGAGAAAUUGGGUGGACCACGAUACACACAGAUGUACUAUGCUAAGCAAGGAAUUAUAACCGAGGAAAUGUUGUUCUGCGCUGCCCGUGAGAAGCUUGAGCCAGAGUUUGUGAGAUCUGAGGUUGCCCGUGGGCGGGCAAUCAUCCCGUCCAACAAAAAGCACUUGGAGUUGGAGCCUAUGAUAGUUGGAAGAAAUUUCUUGGUCAAAGUUAAUGCAAAUAUUGGAAACUCUGCUGUUGCUAGCUCCAUUGAGGAAGAAGUUUACAAGGUUCAAUGGGCCACAACAUGGGGUGCCGACACUGUUAUGGAUCUUUCUACUGGGCGCCACAUCCAUGAGACCCGUGAGUGGAUCCUACGUAACUCUGCUGUACCAGUGGGGACAGUUCCCAUCUAUCAAGCACUUGAAAAAGUGAAUGGAAUUGCUGAAGAUCUUACUUGGGAAGUAUUCAGAGACACCCUGAUUGAACAAGCUGAGCAGGGGGUUGAUUACUUCACAAUACAUGCUGGAGUUCUGCUUCGUUAUAUUCCAUUAACAGCAAAUCGCAUGACUGGAAUUGUCUCUCGUGGAGGAUCAAUUCAUGCAAAAUGGUGCUUAGCUUAUCAUAAGGAGAACUUUGCAUAUGAGCACUGGGAUGAAAUACUUGACAUCUGUAAUCAAUAUGACAUCUCAUUGUCAAUAGGUGAUGGGCUCAGACCCGGGUCCAUUUAUGAUGCCAACGAUCCUGCUCAGUUUGCAGAGCUUUUAACUCAAGGAGAACUAACUCGCAGAGCAUGGGAAAAGGAUGUACAGGUGAUGAAUGAAGGGCCUGGACAUAUUCCAAUGCAUAAAAUCCCAGAAAACAUGCAAAAACAGCUGGAGUGGUGUAACGAAGCACCUUUCUACACUCUUGGCCCUUUAACAACUGAUAUUGCUCCAGGAUAUGAUCAUAUCACCUCUGCCAUUGGUGCUGCCAACAUAGGGGCUCUUGGUACUGCACUUCUCUGUUAUGUAACACCAAAAGAACACCUUGGGUUGCCAAACCGGGAUGAUGUCAAGGCUGGGGUCAUAGCUUAUAAGAUAGCUGCUCAUGCAGCUGAUUUAGCCAAAGGUCACCCCCAUGCUCAAGCCUGGGAUGAUGCUCUAAGCAAAGCAAGAUUUGAGUUCCGAUGGAUGGACCAGUUUGCUUUGUCAUUGGACCCCAUGACAGCUAUGGCCUUCCAUGAUGAAACCCUGCCAUCAGAAGGUGCCAAAGUGGCACAUUUUUGCUCUAUGUGUGGGCCUAAGUUCUGUUCAAUGAAGAUAACAGAGGAUGUGCGCAAAUAUGCUGAGGAGCAUGGCUAUGGAAGUGCUGAGGAAGCUGUGCAGCAAGGAAUGGAUGCUAUGAGUGCUGAAUUUCUUGCUGCUAAGAAAACUGUCAGUGGGGAACAAUAUGGUGAAAUUGGUGGAGAAAUCUACUUGCCAACAAGUGCAAAUAGCUCCUCGCAGAGGUAAAGGAACUCGUGAAUUUGAAGAACCUGUUUGAAAUUCUCGGGGGCUCAGUGUGAUAUUGGCUGGUCAAGAAUGGUGAUUUGAAGUCAAUCAUUUUUAGCUGUUGGCGAGUGCUUAGUUUUGCAGUGUCAAAUAAAUAGAGACAUCUCUUUAUUUUGCUUCUUGGGUGUCUGCAUCUGCUUUUGCACUGGCAAUUUGGCCAAGGAUGCAAGCAGAUCAGGCUGAGAAAGUCCCUUCGAACCUGAACAGGAUAAUGCCUGCGUAGGGAGUGUGCUUUUCUUUUCCCAUUUUUUUCUGUGCUUGCGCAGGGAGGGAGAAUCCAUCCAUGUUUCAGGCUACCUGUUCCAUGUCAGGGCAGAUUCGAGCUCAUGACCAGGCAUAUUUAUCGCGAGCCUUGGAAAUACUAGAACUGACAAUUUUAUUAAUCAUGAUUGCUUCACUAAUCAGCAGCCACUUAUUGACCAAGUGUGCAUAUAUAUCGAGGUAACAUAACUUAGUUACUCCUACAUCAAUGGAAUCCUUUCCAUAUGGUACUGAACUAUCCUGUAAUCUUUAUACAGCAUCCCUUUUCUUGGAAAAUCCUAUUUGAACCCACUGUUACCAAGGUCAUCUUUCAUAAAUCAUGAGAUUGUGAUUCACUGGUUAAAGAGAUUUGGUUUUUUUU